rnacentral:rRNA from 1 species
GUAACCUACCUAUAAGACUGGGRUWACUUCGGGRAACCGGAGSUWAAUACCGGAUAAUAUUUCGAACCGCAUGGUUCGAUAGUGAAAGAUGGCUYUGCUAUCACUUAUAGAUGGACCUGCGCCGUAUUAGCUAGUUGGUAAGGUAACGGCUUACCAAGGCAACGAUACGUAGCCGACCUGAGAGGGUGAUCGGCCACACUGGAACUGAGACACGGUCCAGACUCCUACGGGAGGCAGCAGUAGGGAAUCUUCCGCAAUGGGCGAAAGCCUGACGGAGCAACGCCGCGUGAGUGAUGAAGGUCUUCGGAUCGUAAAACUCUGUUAUUAGGGAAGAACAAACGUGUAAGUAACUGU